GGAGAAUAGAACCAUCACAUUAUGUCAAUGGGCUCAGCUAGUCAAGUGGAAGUCGGUCUCACCAGCAGAUGCUACUGGGAGGAGGCACUUCCUCUCCAGCUGGCUGUUGGCCUCUUGAAGGUAAAAUGCCAUCCUUCUUUGAUAAACGAUGAAACUUUGACACUUUACCUGACUUUUGAAAAGCCAUGUGAUGUGCCUGCUCCCCCUUGGCCUUCCAUGAUGAUUGCAAGCUUCCCAAGGCCUCCCUAGAAACCAAGAUGCCAGCACCAUGCUUCCUGUAAAGCCUGCAGACCUGUGAGCCAGUUAAGCCUCUUUUCUUUAGAAA